AUGGAUAAUGCUUCAAACAACAUGGGAGCAAAGGUGAUGUUGAAAGAUAAACGGCCCAAGUUAUUUUGGACCUCGUGUGCAACUCACACCAUCAACUUGAUGGUAGAAGAGGUUGCAAAGUUGAAGCAUUUUGGUUCUACAAUAACCAAAGCCAAAGAAAUGACUACUUUCCUUUAUGCACAUCAUACUACAUUGGCCUUGAUGAGGUCCUAUACAAAAAAGAGAGACAUUGUUAGACCGGGGGUGACUAGAUUUGCUUCGGCAUUUCUUACCUUGCAAAGUCUUGAUGCUAAGAGGAAGCAACUAAAGGAAAUGUGUUGUAGUGAUACUUGGGAAGGAUGCAAGCACAUGAGAACAAAGAAAGGGAAGGUGGCUCAUGCCGCAAUAAUGAGUAGGGCAUUUUUGGAAAAACGUGUCUCUUUGCAUUAA
rnacentral:rRNA from 1 species